rnacentral:rRNA from 1 species
UCCCCAAAAUAAAAAGACGCCGGAUAAUACAAAUAAAAAUUUAAAAACCAAAGAACUUGGCGGUGUCUUAUACAAUCAGGGGAACCUGUCCCUUAAUACGAUAAUCCACGAACGCCUAAACCCCUCUUGAAUUACAGCCUGUGUACUGCCGUCGCAAGUAUACCUUUAAAAGUUAGCAUACAAAAAUAUAUCUAUCGACGUCAGGUCAAAGUGCAGCCCAUGGGGGGCUGGAGAUGGGUUACACUCUAAACUACUAGCUACCUAGCCUAAUUAAUAAAUAAGACCAAAGCUGGACUUGAAAGUAAUAAAGUACACCUAAACUUUAUGAAUAGGAAUCUAAGACAUGCACACAUCGCCCGUCACUCUCGUCGAAAGAUG